rnacentral:rRNA from 1 species
GACGAACGCUGGCGGCGUGCUUAACACAUGCAAGUCGAGCGGUAAGGCCUUUCGGGGUACACGAGCGGCGAACGGGUGAGUAACACGUGGGUGAUCUUCCCUGCACUUCGGGAUAAGCCUGGGAAACUGGGUCUAAUACCGGAUAUGACCUCCUAUCGCAUGGUGGGUGGUGGAAAGAUUUAUCGGUGCAGGAUGGGCCCGCGGCCUAUCAGCUUGUUGGUGGGGUAAUGGCCUACCAAGGCGACGACGGGUAGCCGACCUGAGAGGGUGACCGGCCACACUGGGACUGAGACACGGCCCAGACUCCUACGGGAGGCAGCAGUGGGGAAUAUUGCACAAUGGGCGAAAGCCUGAUGCAGCGACGCCGCGUGCGGGAUGACGGCCUUCGGGUUGUAAACCUCUUUCAGCAGGGACGAAGCGCAAGUGACGGUACCUGCAGAAGAAGCACCGGCUAACUACGUG